UCUUCCAUUCUGUUCUGCACUAUUUUAGUGGCUUGCACCAACUAAUAUCUUAUUAUCUUGUUAUCUUUGUGUCACUCUGCUUUGUCAUUGCUGAGUACAGAAAGGGAGUCACUGGGACUAAAUGGUUUAAAGUCUCAACAGUGGAGACAGUAAGUGUGUUUUAACCACAUAUUCAAAUAUUGCAUUCCGCCAUAAGCCUAUUAGACAUUUUUUCAUGAAUGCUCUGUUUUUGUUUGCUGCAAUCAUUUUGACAAACAUUACCCUUCUUUCAACUGUUGAUGGAAUUUUUAACAUGCUGGGCCCCUACGGUAACCUGUCAGCAGGCAACAUCCGCCUCAUCAAAGACAAGCUAACAGGAAAGAAUAGAGCCUUUGCCUUUGUUCACCUCUCGUCUCCUGUGGUGUGUUAUUUCUGUGGUCUGUAUGUAGACGUUAUGUAAGUAUGUGUGUUUCUUUUGGGGGUGUACACGUGUGACAAUCUUGCAUCUUUACUUCAUCUAUAGGAGUCUUCUCAGCUGCUCACCUUGCUCCAUCUUCAGACACCUCUAAAACUGGAUGGAAAAACAGUUGGUGUGGAUUAUGCUAGGAGUGCUGAGAGACUCCAAGCAGUCUGAUGGGAUCAGAGCCAUUGCCCUCUCUGUUGCCAGCGCAGAAAUUGCUGCUGCUCAGUGGUCAUCCAGCCAGGGUUUUACUUGCUGUUUUGUAUUUCUAAGUAAUUUAAAUUUGUUGUACUUAAAAUUCGCUGAACUAAGUGGUGUGACAUUAAAGUAAGGCAAAGAGCAUUUGUGGCCUAAACUGCUAAAAGGUGGUGUAAGUACAAAUGUGUCAACAACUUUAUACAUUUGUUCAAAGUACGAUGGAGACUAAAGCUAAAUCAAAUGACGCCCUGUAAUGUAAAAUGUUUGGCUAGAGGGACUUAAUCAUAUGGAAAUGGGGUGUUGAUUCUCAGUGGGUAUUAGAAACGUUGACAUUACUAGGGGCGCUUUGACAGCUUUUUUAAAAUGUUAUAUAAUAAUAAUUUACAGCAUUUACACAUUUCUAUGCAAAGUAUUGUUUGCAAAUGCAUCUUGGCAUGUUUUAAUUGGGGUGCUUGUGUGUUUUUACUGACUUUGCUCUCAUCCCUGUAAUUCUUUGUAGUUGCAGCACGGUUCAGGUACCACCUCUGACUAUGUUACACUUCUGGAUGGCUAUGCACAGCAAACACAGGUCAGUUCACAGUCUACUUUACUGGGACAAUGACUUGAACAAUGGAGAUCAAUGAUUCCUUUUAUGUAGGGACAGAAUUAUCAAGGAUGGCAGCAGCAGCCUGAAGGAUUGGCUCCUGUCAGUGGAGAUAUAUCUCUUGGAGGUGCCCAACACUCAAGAGAUAUUUUGACAGAUUUCUAUACUAAGGCUGAGAUUUCUAAUUGUAUCAUUAAUCAAAUUGUCUUUAGCUGUCCCAGAAAUGAAGACAUUGAUCCUUGCAGCCACAGGUGUUGUCAUCAUAUCCCAGAUGACUCAACUUUACCAGCCUGUGAUUACCAGCCAGCCGGCCAUACAGGCAGACAGUGUAUUAACAUGGCAUCUAUGUAGUGCAAACACAACUACUAAUUUAUAAUUUAGCACUCUGGUGUUGUAUGCUGGAUGUUACAGCUAAUUGUGAAUUCCCCCCUGCCACUCUCAGUCUCAUCUAUUAGUGAUAACACCAGUUGCUUCUUCUGUCUGUGCAACCUCAACUGCUAAUCCAACAGCUGCCCCCCGCAGCUUCCCCUGACACCUCAACAUACCAGUACGAUGAGACUUCAGGUUACUAUUACAAUCCACAGAGGGCCUACACUACAAUCCUAGC